GAAGGUAUAGCUCAUUGGUAGAGUGCAUGCUUAGCAUGCAGGAGGGCCUGGGUUCAAUCCCCAGUACCUCCA
rnacentral:tRNA from 1 species